UACAGAGGUCCCAAGCGUUGUUCGGAUUCACUGGGCGUAAAGGGUGCGUAGGUGGCAGGCCAAGUCUGUGGUGAAAGCGCCCGGCUCAACUGGGCAUGGUCCAUGGAAACUGGUCAGCUGGAGGACGGUAGAGGCGAGUGGAAUUCCCGGUGUAGUGGUGAAAUGCGUAGAGAUCGGGAGGAACACCAGUGGCGAAGGCGGCUCGCUGGGCCGGUCCUGACACUGAGGCGCGAAGGCGUGGGGAGCGAACGGG
rnacentral:rRNA from 1 species